AGGAAUUCAGAUCUUCAGAAGAAAAAAAAAAUGCUCGUCAUCUUCAUAGCAAAGUGAUAAGGAAUCAGGCAUAUUGAAUGCCAAAUAAACAUGGAACUGGAAGGAGAUGCUCUCAGGAGGUCUCAGUGGACUCAGAAUAUCCAACCUCCUCCUCAUGAAGCAAAAAUCCAUCAAAGCUCUGGCAAACCUGGCUUCUCAACUCACUAUUUCUAAUUCAUGGCUAUGUCUUCUGACACCCUGGAAGUUCUGAAAAUCUGGUCCAUGUCCUUCCUGCGUUGGAGGCCCCAGAACUUCUAAGGCUCUGGAUGUACAAGAUCAGUCUUAGAAGGAGGGUGCUUUGUCAAGGACUUAUGUGUAACAAAUUGUUUGGGUGUGCAUGUUGGCAGUAUAAACAUAGCAUUGAGCUGAUAUUUUUGGGACAAUUGAACAUAUUGCUAAGAACCUCAGUAAGAUAUUCUUCC